rnacentral:tmRNA from 1 species
GGGGGCGCAACGGGUUCGACGGGAUCGAAUCGUUGUGUGAAGGCGUGUCGGGUUCCGAGCUCCCGUAAAACGAUCGGAAAACAACAACUGCCAAUAACACGCAGUUUGCAUACGCUGCCUAAUUAGUUAGGUAGCCGCUCCGGCUGGCGAGCCUGCGCGUCAGCUAGUGAGCGUCAUUUUGCAGGAUAGGCCCCGGACUUCGGUCCGUAGUCUUGGGGGCUGAGAUCAAUCGGACUAGGCGGCUCCCGCUUUUGCCGAUUCUUUAGGGAGCGGCUGAAAUUACAGAACCGGAUACACACGUAGGCUUUGCACGGCGGGCUUUCUCGGACGCGGGUUCAACUCCCGCCGCCUCCAUAA